rnacentral:rRNA from 1 species
GGUGGCGAGCCAGGGAUCUUAGUUGUGCUCUUGGUCUCUGAUCUUGAGCCGGCUCUGGUUUCUGGCCGCUUUCAUAAUCCCGCCGCGGUGCUCUUCACCGAGUGUCGAGGCGGGCCGGCACGUUUACUUUGAACAAAUUAGAGUGCUUCAAGCAGGCUCAUUCCAGCCUGUAUACUGUGUGCAUGGAAUAAUGGAAUAGGACCUCGGUUCUAUUUUGUUGGUUUCCGGAAUCUGAGGUAAUGAUCAAUGGGGACAGGCGGGGGCAUUCGUAUUGCGACGUUAGAGGUGAAAUUCUUGGAUCGUCGCAAGACGGACCGAAGCGAAAGCAUUUGCCAAGUAUGUUCCCGUCGAUCAAGAACGAAAGUUAGAGGUUCGAAGGCGAUCAGAUACCGCCCUAGUUCUAACCAUAAACAAUGCCUGCCAGCGAUCCGCCGGUGUCCCUCCGAUGACCCGGCGGGCAGCUUCCGGGAAACCAGAGCUUUUGGGUUCCGGGGGAAGUAUGGUUGCAAAGCUGAAACUUAAAGGAAUUGACGGAAGGGCACCACCAGGAGUGGAGCCUGCGGCUUAAUUUGACUCAACACGGGAAAACUCACCAGGCCCGGACACCGGAAGGAUUGACAGAUUGAUAGCUCUUUCUUGAUUCGGUGGGUGGUGGUGCAUGGCCGUUCUUAGUUGGUGGAGCGAUUUGUCUGGUUAAUUCCGAUAACGAACGAGACUCUAGCCUACUAACUAGACGUAUCUGGUAUCAGCAAUCGUGCUACCAGCGAUCAUAUCUCUUCUUAGAGGGACAGGCGGCUUCUAGCCGCACGAGACUGAGCAAUAACAGGUCUGUGAUGCCCUUAGAUGUCCUGGGCCGCACGCGCGCUACACUGAAGGAAUCAGCGUGUCUUCCCUGGCCGAAAGGCCCGGGUAACCCGCUGAACCUCCUUCGUGCUAGGGAUUGGGGCUUGCAAUUGUUCCCCAUGAACGAGGAAUUCCCAGUAAGCGCGAGUCAUAAGCUCGCGUUGAUUACGUCCCUGCCCUUUGUACACACCGCCCGUCGCUACUACCGAUUGAAUGAUUUAGUGAGGUCUUCGGACCGGUGCGCGGAGGCGGUUUACCGCUCCCGAUGUUGUCGGAAAGAUGACCAAACUUGAUCAUU